AUUUCCCAGCUCUCCUGAGACUCCCUCUCUGGACCUACUAGGGUUGUUGUGAAGAGUAAUUGAGAGUUUUAGGAAGAGGAUUACGUCGUGUGAACAAGGCUUGAAUUGCUUUCAGGAUCCACAGAUUUGUGGCACUGUGGACGUAAGACGUGGGGGCCUGAGUGAGAAGCUGCGGUGAGUGCGAGAGGGAUUAAGACUCCCUGAGAGCAGGCGCCUGGCCGUGGGAAAGCCCUGGCUGGAGUCCUGGCUCUUCCGUUUGCUACAUCAAAACUCACCCUCUACAGAGUUGUCGGGAUUGUUAGAAACAAGAAGGUGCAUACGGAAAGUGCCUGGCUACUAAUCUGUGCUCUAGCUGUCAUUUUGUCUACGUUCCUAAAAAGCCUUGUAGAUGGAUGUGGUUGUGGGAUUCCUGAGAUGGCUGCUUAAAGGGAAGCUACUUUAGCUGAGACCCCUGCAAUUGUAUUCUCUCCCACGUCCUCCCUCUGCUGACCUGGAACCCAGAUAUGAUGGUGGGAGCUUCAACAGUCACACUGGACCAUGAAGCAACCUUGAGAAUGAAGGCAAACGAUACAGAUUGUAGAGCAUAAUGGUACAGCUUGUGUCACUGAUGACAUGGAGUGAUACUGUACCAACUCUGGACUACCUACUCUGGAUAUCUUCUUUGUACAAAAAUAAACUAUCAUGUUUAAGCGAGUGUAAUUUUUUGUUAUAUAAAUAGGACU